rnacentral:rRNA from 1 species
UACGGAGGAUCCAAGCGUUAUCCGGAUUUAUUGGGUUUAAAGGGUGCGUAGGUGGCCUGUUAAGUCAGGGGUGAAAGUCGGGGGCUCAACCCUCGAAUGCCGGUGGAUACUGUUGGGCUAGAGUACGGAAGAGGCGAGUGGAAUUCCUGGUGUAGCGGUGAAAUGCGCAGAUAUCAGGAGGAACACCGGUGGCGAAGGCGGUUCUCUGGGCAUUACCUGACGCUGAGGAGCGAAAGUGUGGGGAGCGAACAGG